rnacentral:rRNA from 1 species
UAGGGAAUAUUGGACAAUGGGGGCAACCCUGAUCCAGCCAUGCCGCGUGAGUGAAGAAGGCCCUCGGGUUGUAAAGCUCUUUUGUCCGGAAAGAAAAGCAUUCGGUGAAUACCCGGAUGUUCUGACGGUACCGGAAGAAUAAGCACCGGCUAACUUCGUGCCAGCAGCCGCGGUAAUACGAAGGGUGCAAGCGUUACUCGGAAUUACUGGGCGUAAAGCGUGCGUAGGUGGUUGUUUAAGUCUGAUGUGAAAGCCCUGGGCUCAACCUGGGAAUGGCAUUGGAAACUGGGCAGCUAGAGUGCGGUAGAGGGUAGUGGAAUUCCCGGUGUAGCAGUGAAAUGCGUAGAUAUCCGGAGGAACACCAGUGGCGAAAGCGGCUUCCUGGACUGUAACUGACGCUCAGACGCGAAAGCUAGGGUAGCAAACG